AGAGUUUGAUCAUGGCUCAGGAUGAACGCUGGCGGCGUGCUUAACACAUGCAAGUCGAGCGAUUCUCUUCGGAGAAGAGCGGCGGACGGGUGAGUAACGCGUGGGUAACCUGCCCUGUAGACACGGAUAACAUACCGAAAGGUAUGCUAAUACGAGAUAAUAUGCUUUUAUCGCAUGGUAGAAGUAUCAAAGCUCCGGCGGUACAGGAUGGACCCGCGUCUGAUUAGCUAGUUGGUAAGGUAACGGCUUACCAAGGCGACGAUCAGUAGCCGACCUGAGAGGGUGAUCGGCCACAUUGGAACUGAGACACGGUCCAAACUCCUACGGGAGGCAGCAGUGGGGAAUAUUGCACAAUGGGCGAAAGCCUGAUGCAGCAACGCCGCGUGAGCGAUGAAGGCCUUCGGGUCGUAAAGCUCUGUCCUCAAGGAAGAUAAUGACGGUACUUGAGGAGGAAGCCCCGGCUAACUACGUGCCAGCAGCCGCGGUAAUACGUAGGAGGCUAGCGUUAUCCGGAAUUACUGGGCGUAAAGGGUGCGUAGGUGGUUUCUUAAGUCAGAGGUGAAAGGCUACGGCUCAACCGUAGUAAGCCUUUGAAACUGGGAAACUUGAGUGCAGGAGAGGAGAGUGGAAUUCCUAGUGUAGCGGUGAAAUGCGUAGAUAUUAGGAGGAACACCAGUUGCGAAGGCGGCUCUCUGGACUGUAACUGACACUGAGGCACGAAAGCGUGGGGAGCAAACAGGAUUAGAUACCCUGGUAGUCCACGCCGUAAACGAUGAGUACUAGCUGUCGGAGGUUACCCCCUUCGGUGGCGCAGCUAACGCAUUAAGUACUCCGCCUGGGGAGUACGCUCGCAAGAGUGAAACUCAAAGGAAUUGACGG
rnacentral:rRNA from 1 species